GAAAUGCGAUAAGUAGUGUGAAUUGCAGAAUUCAGUGAAUCAUCGAAUCUUUGAACGCACAUUGCGCCCGCCAGUAUUCUGGCGGGCAUGCCUGUUCGAGCGUCAUUUCAACCAUCAAGCCCCCGGGCUUGUGUUGGGGACCUGCGGCUGCCGCAGGCCCCGAAAACCAGUGGCGGGCUCGCUGUCACACCGGGCGUAGUAGAUUUUUCGUCUCGCCCAGGGCGUGCUGCGGGUUCCGGCCGUUAAAAAGCCUCUCUUUUUAACCCAAGGUUGACCUCGGAUCAGGUAGGAAGACCCGCUGAACUUAAGC
rnacentral:misc_RNA from 1 species